rnacentral:lncRNA from 1 species
AUCCUAAUAUGUCAUUUACACAAAUUGUCCAGUGAUAACCAUCAGGACCUGCUGUGGGAGUGAGACCUGAACCCUCCCAUCCCUUUCUGUCCAGCAGCAUCAGUGUAUUUUGUCUCUCACUUUGCCUUUCCAAGACUAUUGGAUUCCAAGCUUAGAGAGUGACAUCAGCCUAAGCCAGGCCAACAGCUCAAUAUUCUGGCAUCUUUUUGGAAAUUCUUUUACACUGCUUCUUUUUUCUUUUUGGAGACAAGGCCUCAUUCAGUCACCCAGGCUGGAAUCCAGUGGUGCGAUCACGGCUCACUGCAGCCUUGACCUUCCAGGCUCAAGCUGAUCCUCCCACCUCAGCCUCCUGAAUAGCUUGGACUACAGGCGUGUGCCACCACACCUGGCUAAUUUUUUUAUUUUUCUGUAAAAACAGGGGUCUUAGUAUGUUGCCCAGGCUGGUCUUGAACUCCUGGGCUCAAGUGAUCCUCCCACCUUGGCCUCCCACUGCUUCUUUUAGUGUCUCGGGAUAAUUGACUGUGGAUUUCCCCCCACACUGCUGAGCCUUCUUGUUUCCAUUGCUUCUUCAUCAGACGUUCUCCAGUGGGGCUCCC